rnacentral:tRNA from 2 species
GCGGGCGUGGUGAAACUGGUAGACGCGCUGGAUUCAAAAUCCAGUUCCGCAAGGAGUGUCGGUUCGAGCCCGACCGCCCGCACCA